GAGUUUGAUCGUGGCUCAGGAUGAACGCUGGCGGCGUGCCUAAUACAUGCAAGUCGAGCGAACAGACGAGGAGCUUGCUCCUCUGACGUUAGCGGCGGACGGGUGAGUAACACGUGGAUAACCUACCUAUAAGACUGGGAUAACUUCGGGAAACCGGAGCUAAUACCGGAUAAUAUAUUGAACCGCAUGGUUCAAUAGUGAAAGACGGUUUUGCUGUCACUUAUAGAUGGAUCCGCGCCGCAUUAGCUAGUUGGUAAGGUAACGGCUUACCAAGGCAACGAUGCGUAGCCGACCUGAGAGGGUGAUCGGCCACACUGGAACUGAGACACGGUCCAGACUCCUACGGGAGGCAGCAGUAGGGAAUCUUCCGCAAUGGGCGAAAGCCUGACGGAGCAACGCCGCGUGAGUGAUGAAGGUCUUCGGAUCGUAAAACUCUGUUAUUAGGGAAGAACAAAUGUGUAAGUAACUAUGCACGUCUUGACGGUACCUAAUCAGAAAGCCACGGCUAACUACGUGCCGGCA
rnacentral:rRNA from 1 species